rnacentral:rRNA from 1 species
AUGUCUUCCUCUAGCGCCGCUCAAUCCAAUCUCAGCGGCCAAGUCACGGAGAAGCUCUCCCGGACGAACUACGUCCUGUGGCGAACGCAAGUUACGCCGCAGCUGAGGGGAGCCGGGCUCUUCGGCUAUGUCGAUGGAACCAUGCCGGAACCCGCCCGCCUCCUCGUCACCAAGGACAAGGAAGGCAAGGAGUCGACCGAGUCCAACCCUCUCCAUCCCAUCUGGGUGAGGGAGGAUCAACAAGUGCUCGGCUACCUCCUCAACAAUCUCUCCAAAGAAGUGCUGAUCACGGUGACCGCGAUC